ACAUACUUAUUUCAUAAAGCAGAAUUACAGUUUUAGAGUUAGUUGAAGUGAAUUUAAUUAAUUGUGUUAUUUUUGUAGUGUUUACCGACAUUGCCAUGUACAAUACAAUGAAUGUAGCAUUUGUAUUGUACGCGGAAACGGAACGAAAAAGAUGUCUUUGUCGAGUUUAUUGCAAAACUUUCGUGUCGCGAUACCAGCAGGUUUUAGAAGAAAUACAAAGUCUUCGAACAACUGCUGUUCGCAAUGAAUUAGAGAUAAGUCUUGGCAGCUUUAAACUUUUAUGCCAAUGGAUCAUACAAAUGGCUUUGUGAUGGCUAAGGCAUCUUUUAGCAAAUGCCUACAUGAAGUCGCUGAUGCUCCUGAAUACCCCAGCUGUUUAAAAAAAAUGUGUUAAGUUCCCUUUGCAUUAAACACAAAAUCAUUAUAAAUAAAUAUGUGAUGCCAAUCUAAUAAUAACAUAGUGGAUGCUCAAUUUGGUGGUGCAUCUUAUGACUUGUACAUAUGGAACCAGUGCAAUAAGACCACUUGAGAAAAACCUGCCCAAUAGGGACCGCUGUUGGUUGUUAGGUGACCAAUGUUUGCAUGAUGACCCCCAUCUUGGGAGCUGCUCCUAGAUCCCAUGAAGAUUUGCACAACAUUGCUGUGUCAGAAAUACGGUGGAGCCUUGUAGUUGGGUGCAUAUUGUAAAGUGUUUCCUCACUCCAGAACCAUGAACUCUGGUUUCCUAAACCCUCAAGCUAUGCAGCCGAAGGAGGAGACUUAUCACAGGAGAAUCACUAAUAAUUUUGAAGAAGUGAAGAGCUUAACAAUGUUUCAACCAACACCUAAAGAAGCUUUCACUUGGCUGUUAGAUCAAGGGCUGGAUACAGAAAACAGUAAUCCUUGUGAUGGCAGUAUUGUCCAAGGAUUCCUCACUCAAAACCAUGAUAACAAGUUGCUAGAACCCUCAAGCUAUGCAGACAAAGGACUGGAUAUAUUUUUUCGUGACCAAGCCUUUUGUAUAAUUAUUUAUACUUAAACC
rnacentral:misc_RNA from 1 species